AGCAGCCGCGGUAAUUCCAGCUCCAAUGGCGUAUAUUAAAGUUGUUGCAGUUAAAAAGCUCGUAGUUGAAUUUCGGGGUUAGUAGGUUGGUCAUGCCUCUGGUAUGUACUGGUCUCACUGAUUCCUCCUUCCUGAUGAACCGUAAUGCCAUUAAUUUGGUGUUGCGGGGAAUUUGGACUGUUACUUUGAAAAAAUUAGAGUGUUUAAAGCAAGCUAACGCUUGAAUACAUUAGCAUGGAAUAAUGAAAUAGGACGUUCGAUCCUAUUUUGUUGGUUUCUAGGAUUGACGUAAUGAUUAAUAGGGAUAGUUGGGGGCAUUAGUAUUCAAUUGUCAGAGGUGAAAUUCUUGGAUUUAUUGAAGACUAACUACUGCGAAAGCAUUUGCCAAGGAUGUUUUCAUUAAUCAAGAACGAAAGUUAGGGGAUCGAAGACGAUCAGAUACCGUCGUAGUCUUAACCAUAAACUAUGCCGACUAGGGAUCGGA
rnacentral:rRNA from 1 species